GAACAACUAGUGAAGAGUCAGGUUUCCCAGGUAAUAUAUUACAUGGACAUGGUGUUCUAGAUGGGAAUAGUUCUUGUGAACACUGUCGGGCAAAUUUUCAUCGGUAUCAAACACACAUGGAACAAGCUAAUACGAUAAAUGGACUUCCCCCUGAAUACCCUCAGAAUAGAGAGGCCUUGAUGCAGAAGGCAGACAUGAAGUUCCAUCAUGGUAUUUUUCCAAAUG
rnacentral:misc_RNA from 1 species